rnacentral:rRNA from 1 species
GGCGCACGGGUGCGUAACGCGUAUAGAACCUACCUUUUACAGAGGAAUAGCCUUUAGAAAUGAAGAUUAAUGCCUCAUGGUAUUGUAGACUGGCAUCAGUUUAUAAUUAAAGAUUUAUCGGUAAAAGAUGGCUAUGCGUCCUAUUAGUUAGUUGGUAAGGUAACGGCUUACCAAGACAGCGAUAGGUAGGGGUCCUGAGAGGGAGAUCCCCCACACUGGUACUGAGACACGGACCAGACUCCUACGGGAGGCAGCAGUGAGGAAUAUUGGACAAUGGAGGAGACUCUGAUCCAGCCAUGCCGCGUGUAGGAAGAAUGCCCUAUGGGUUGUAAACUACUUUUAUACAGGAAGAAACACUGGUAUGUA